rnacentral:rRNA from 1 species
GAUUGGGCCCGAGUUUGAUCAUGGCUCAGGACGAACGCUGGCGGCACGCUUAACACAUGCAAGUCGAGCGAGAACCAGUCCUUCGGGACUGGGGACAGCGGCGAACGGGUGAGUAACACGUGAGUAAUCCACCCUCGGUACCGGAAUAGCCCGGGGAAACCCGGAUUAAUGCCGGAUGGCCCAUUAGUCCUUCGGGAAUUAAUGGAAAAGGUAGCUUAGGCCUCCGACCGAGGACGAGCUCGCGGCGGAUUAGCUUGUUGGUGGGGUAACGGCCCACCAAGGCGACGAUCCGUAGCUGGUCUGAGAGGACGAUCAGCCACACUGGGACUGAGACACGGCCCAGACUCCUACGGGAGGCAGCAGUGGGGAAUAUUGCACAAUGGGGGAAACCCUGAUGCAGCAACGCCGCGUGAGUGAUGAAGGUCUUCGGAUUGUAAAGCUCUGUCUUUAGGGACGAUAAUGACGGUACCUAAGGAGGAAGCCACGGCUAACUACGUGCCAGCAGCCGCGGUUAG